rnacentral:tRNA from 1 species
AGGGAUUUAGGUUAAAUUAGACCAAGAGCCUUCAAAGCUCUAAGCAAGUGUUAUACACUUAACCCCUG